rnacentral:rRNA from 1 species
GACGAACCGUGCGAACGUUGUUCGGAAUCACUGGGCUUAAAGGGCGCGUAGGCGGGCGGGCAAGUCUGAGGUGAAAUCCCACGGCUCAACCGUGGAAGAGCCUUCGAUACUACCCGUCUCGAGGGAGGUAGGGGCGUGUGGAACUUCCGGUGGAGCGGUGAAAUGCGUAGAUAUCGGAAGGAACACCGGUGGCGAAAGCGACACGCUGGACCUCUUCUGACGCUGAGGCGCGAAAGCCAGGGGAGCAAACGGG